AUAACUUUAUUUAGUUUUAAAGGCCAAGCUUAUUACAAUUCAAAAUAAUUUCAUUAGUCAGGAUCAACGUAACAUACCUUUAUUCGCAUUCAGACAUGUCAUUACUUACCGCUUUUGAAUUUGACGUUACUUAAGAAAUAAUAUAUCUCAUCCAGUGAUUUGUCGUUGAAUAAAUCAUUGUUUGGAGUUCAGAUGCGAAGGAAUUAUAUCACGAGGGCGCAGCCCGAGUGAUAUAAUAAUACGCAUCUGAACGACAAACAAUGAUUUAUUCAAGAGCAAAUCACUGAAUGAGACAUAUUAUUUCGAUUCUAACACGUUAAAAAGGAUUUUUAAGUACAUCCUUGACGACAUUCAUUAAAUAUUUGCCCGUUUUCAAUCGGUUUCUUUUCUAGCGCGCCGCUAUGCCAUUCGACGCCAUGACGUAAUAACUGUGACGUCAGAACAGUGAUUUGUUGUAUUAUAAUUCACUGUUUUCUGCCUGCUUUGUUUAAUAAGAAAAUGAAUCGGAUCGUGUUAGAAUUUCCAUUUUUGACGUUAAUUAUACCACAUUAGCACUUUCGGACGUUAUUUACCGCAGAUUUAUGAAACAUGAAAACUUACAUUUGUAACUGGUUUUCUUUUUCUGAAAUAACAAAAUACUGUACUUCCGCAGUUACUGAGAGAAUGUUUUUCUUUGGAAAAGUUACAGAAUAUGAAAGCGAGGCUAGGCUUUGGUGACUGAAGUAAGGGGGCAAACGAAUCAGACAUCAGAAACUGAAUAAAAGUUGUUCUUCGCAGACAUGAAAGAAUGUAGGAGGAAGCACGUAGCGAUGUAGUCCACGAAAAUAAAAGGCCAGCAAAGAAAGAACAGUCCCGGUUGUCCCAGAAACUAUUGACGACAGCUCAAAUACAGAUGACCAGAAGAAGAGGAAAACAGAGGAAUCAAAGAAAAAAACAGAUUAGAGACAAAUAGAAUAUAGUAACGGAGAAUUGGAUGAUAAAAUCAGAUACAGUUAUCACAUAAGAUACGAUGCAGGAAAAACAAUUGGGACAUUCUCACUUUACAUUUAACUCACAUGAGCACGAAUAGCACUAUUGUUGGAUAUCCGUUGACAUUAUCCAUUAGUCGUCCAAUGUCACCAUGUUUUUUUCUUCUCCAGCAUCCACAAUACUCCUUAAACUUAGACACAAUGUACUCGUAUAUCACAAUAUGUUAUUGCUCAAGAUGGAUUAUCGGUCCAGUUAGACCACAUAAUAAUCAAAAUUUUUAAUUAAAAAAAAAUGCAGAAUGUUACUUACCUGUGACUGAUCAAAAACGCCAUGUCUCAAUAUGUGAACGCCUUGCAAUCAUUUUUUUGCAAAUUUUGUUCAUAUUUUCACAUAAUUUGUGUAACAGUAUUACUUUAUUUCAAACUGGCACAGACAUCUUCGAUAGUGUUCACCUGUUUGUUCCGGGCGACAAUAAAAACAACAGGGCGAUGGAAAAAACAUGAAAUGCAUGGAAAAAUAUGUUUGUGCAUUCUUAUAUUUCCAUGUUUAGUUUCUUAUAAAGUAUCUCUGAUUUUAAUAAAUCAUCAAGAAUUAUUCUCGA